rnacentral:rRNA from 1 species
UACGGGGGGAGCAAGCGUUGUUCGGAAUUACUGGGCGUAAAGCGCGUGUAGGCGGUCCGGUAAGUCCGCUGUGAAAGUUGGGGGCUCAACCCUCGAAUGCCGGUGGAUACUGUCGGGCUAGAGUGCGGAAGAGGCGAGUGGAAUUCCUGGUGUAGCGGUGAAAUGCGCAGAUAUCAGGAGGAACACCAAUUGCGAAGGCAGCUCGCUGGGACGUUACUGACGCUGAGACGCGAAAGCGUGGGGAGCAAACAGG